rnacentral:rRNA from 1 species
AGUGAACGCUGGCGGCAGGCCUAAUACAUGCAAGUCGAACGGCCGCAUAGUAAGCGUUCGCCCCUAAGGGUGGCGAGUGACGGACGGGUGACACAUGGAUAGGCUUCUUCUUAUACUGGGGGGACAUCGUAGGGACACAGAUGCUAACACAGAAUAUGUCCAACGGCAGAAAGCAGGAGUUAUACGCACUUUGCCCGUCACUUUGAGACGAUGUCGGAUUAGCUAGUUGGGGGGGUAAGGGCACACCAAGGCGACGAUCCGUAGCUGGUCUGAGAGGAUGAUCAGCCACACUGGAACUGAGACACGGUCCAGACUCCUACGGGAGGCAGCAGUAGGGAAUAUUGGGCAAUGGGCGCAAGCCUGAUCCAGCCACACCGCGUGAGUGAAGAAGGCCUUCGGAUUGUAAAGCCCUUUUAUUAGGGAAGAAAAACAGCGUAUGAAUCUCCGCCUGUUCUGACGGUACCCAAAGAGAAAGCACCGGCUAACUACGUG